rnacentral:lncRNA from 1 species
GCGUUGUGUACGGAGCCCGGCUCCCGUAGGAGUUCGGGCCUUCCACUUUGCUCGAGUCAGGGCGAGGUUCCCCUCCCAUUCCCGACUUGGCUGUGGGGGCGCGUUAGGGCGCUGUAAGGCCUCUCCCCCCAUCCGGUCUAAAAGAACCGGGCCUUCGACUUUGCUUAUGUUAGGAUGAGGUUCUCCUCCUGUUCCUGACAUGGCUGUGGGGGCACAUUAGGGUGCUGUAAGGCCUCUCCCCCCAUCCGGUCUAAAAGAA